AAUGAACGUUGGCGGCGUGGAUUAGGCAUGCGAGUCGUACGGGUGUAGCAAUACACCAGUGGCGCAAGGGAUAGUAACACGUGGGUAACCUACCUCUAGGCCUGGGAUAGCUGCGGGAAACUGCAGGUAAUACCAGAUAAUAUCUCCGGAUCAAAGGUGUGAUUCCGUCUAGAGAGGGGCCCGCGUCCUAUUAGCUAGUUGGUGAGGUAACGGCCCACCAAGGCAAUGAUGGGUAGCGGGUGUGAGAGCAUGACCCGCAUCAUUGGGACUGAGACACUGCCCAGACACCUACGGGUGGCUGCAGUCGAGAAUCUUCGGCAAUGGACGAAAGUCUGACCGAGCGACGCCGCGUGUGGGAUGAAGGCCUUCGGGUUGUAAACCACUGUCAGUGAGGAGGAAAUCUAUGGGGGUUCUCCCCUAUAGUUGACCUAUUCGCAGAGGAAGUACGGGCUAAGUUCGUGCCAGCAGCCGCGGUAAGACGAACCGUACUAACGUUAUUCGGAAUCACUGGGCUUAAAGGGUGCGUAGGCGGUCUGGUAAGUCGGGUGUGAAAUCCCUCAGCUCAACUGAGGAAUAGCGCCCGAUACUGUCAGACUUGAGGGAGAUAGAGGUGAGCGGAACUUAGGGUGGAGCGGUGAAAUGCGUUGAUAUCCUAAGGAACACCAGGGGCGAAAGCGGCUCACUGGAUCUCUUCUGACGCUGAGGCACGAAAGCUAGGGGAGCGAAGAGGAUUAGAUACCCUCGUAGUCCUAGCCGUAAACGAUGAGCACUGGAUCGAAGGGUCCUCCAUAGCCUUUCGGUCGUAGCGAAAGUGUUAAGUGCUCCGCCUGGGGAGUAUGGUCGCAAGGCUGAAACUCAAAAGAAUUGACGGGGGCUCACACAAGCGGUGGAGGAUGUGGCUUAAUUCGAGGCUACGCGAAAAACCUUAUCCUAGUCUU
rnacentral:rRNA from 1 species